CGGUUCAUCCUGCCGGACCUUACCGCUAUCGGGAUGAGACUAAGCCAUGCAAGUUGCGCGCCUCCCAGGCAACGCAUUUGGAGAGCGCAACAUACUGCUCCGUAACACGUAGUCAACCUGCCCUUGGGACGGGGAUAACCCCGGGAAACUGGGGCUAAUACCCGACGGGCGAAAGAGCCUGGAAUGGUCUUUCGCCAAAAGGACGUCGAGAACAUGCUCUCGACGUCGCCCAAGGAUGGGACUGCGUCCGAUCAGGUUGUUGGUGGGGUAACGGCCCACCAAACCUAUGACCGGUACGGGCCCCGAGAGGGGGAGCCCGGAGAUGGGAACUGAGACAAGGUCCCAGGCCCUACGGGGCGCAGCAGGCGCGAAAACUCCACAAUACGCGAAAGCGUGAUGGGGUCAUCCCGAGUGCCGUCCGUUGAGGAUGGCUUUUUCCCGGUGUAAGGAGCCGGAGGAAUAAAGGGAGGGCAAGACUGGUGUCAGCCGCCGCGGUAAUACCAGCUCCCUGAGUGGUAAGGACGAUUAUUGGGCCUAAAGCGUCCGUAGCCGGCUUAACAAGUCUCUUGUUAAAUCCAAUGAUUCAAUCAUUGACCUGCAAGAGAUACUGUUAGGCUAGAGGACGGGAGAGGUCGACGGUAUUCCAAGGGUAGGGGUGAAAUCCUAUAAUCCUUGGAGGACCACCAGUGGCGAAGGCGGUCGACUAGAACGUGCCUGACGGUGAGGGACGAAAGCUGGGGGAGCGAACCGGAUUAGAUACCCGGGUAGUCCCAGCUGUAAACGAUGCGGGCUAGGUGUUGGGGUAGCUACGAGCUACCCCAGUGCCGCAGAGAAGUCGUUAAGCCCGCCGCCUGGGGAGUACGGCCGCAAGGCUGAAACUUAAAGGAAUUGGCGGGGGAGCAC
rnacentral:rRNA from 1 species